ACGGAGGGUGCGAGCGUUAAUCGGAAUUACUGGGCGUAAAGAGCACGUAGGUGGUUUGGUAAGUCGGAUGUGAAAGCCCCGGGCUUAACCUGGGAAUUGCAUUCGAAACUGCCUCACUAGAGUCUAGCAGAGGGAUGCGGAAUUCCGGGUGUAGCGGUGGAAAUGCGUAGAGAUCCGGAGGAACAUCAGUGGCGAAGGCGGCAUCCUGGGCUAAGACUGACACCUGGAGGUGCGAAAAGCGUGGGGAGCAAACAGGAAUUAGAUGACCCCGGUAGUCC
rnacentral:rRNA from 1 species